rnacentral:lncRNA from 1 species
AGCCACAUAGUGACCACUCUCUUAUAUUUAUUUUGUAAAAAUAUUAUAAUAUGUUAUAAAAUAUUAUAAUAAUCCAGGUUUCUCGGAGCACUAGGCCACUUGGUGUUGAAUAGAUAUACUAUUAAAUUAGUAUCUAAUUCUCUCACCCUUAUUAAUUAAUUAUAAUUAUGCUGCAUUUAUUUCUAAAUGCUGUAUUUGUUUUCCGUGAAAGUUUGGCGCGCUGUUAGUUGGGGCAUUUGAAUUAUAACGUCGGAUGUAAUCAAUUGAACCACACGCGUAUUUAUCGUUAUGGUAAAAUCUGGCGUGUGAUUGAGUGGAUUUCAUCCAGAUAGUUUUGGCUGACGAGCUACAAAUGGAUUUUUUUGUAAGUAAAAUUACAUUUAAUUCAUUAAUAGCGAAACAAUUGUCCCAAAAUAAUCUGUAUUUUUGUUAUUUUUUAUUUGCCCUGUCCGUGUGAGCUAACAAUCGUACUGACUUUCAUGGGAAACAUGCAUUUUCGUGGUUGAAACCUUUUGGAUUAACUGGUGCUAGAGUGAGCCACAUAGUGACCACUCUCUUAUAUUUAUUUUGUAAAAAUAUUAUAAUAUGUUAUAAAAUAUUAUAAUAAUCCAGGUUUCUCGGAGCACUAGGCCACUUGGUGUUGAAUAGAUAUACUAUUAAAUUAGUAUCUAAUUCUCUCACCCUUAUUAAUUAAUUAUAUAUAUAUAUAUAUAUAUUCAAAUUAUUACAUUAUAUAAAAGGGCUUAGUAAAAUAAAUUACUUCGCCGCAUACUGAACUCAUUAGAAAUAGCAGCUAAAAAAACUUUUUUUAAAGCUAUUUCUAAUACUUAAAGAAAAUCUCUCUCAUAUAUAGCGUUUGCUUAAUUUAACUCACAAAAGUUUGGGGGUAAGGACAUUAAAAAUCAAAUGCUAAGGUUAUUUGAGUACGUACGUUUCAAGAUUAGUCAAAACAACAUUUCUCUCUUCAGCUCAUAAAUUCCUUGGUUUGGAUUUGGAAACACUGAAAGUAAGAACAUACCCUUUCGAAGAUCCGCUCUUAACUAACAGUGCCAGCAAACCCAAAUAAGCAAGUGAAUCAUUUCUGUUCUCCCCUUUCCACCAGCGUGGGUUAAAAUCAUCAAACGCUAUGCUUAUUUCGGUAAAAUCCGAAGCAAUAAUUAGUUUGGGGGUAAGGACAUUAAAAAUCAAAUGCUAAGGUUAUUUGAGUACGUACGUUUCAAGAUUAGUCAAAACAACAUUUCUCUCUUCAGCUCAUAAAUUCCUUGGUUUGGAUUUGAAACACUGAAAGUAAGAACAUACCCUUUCGAAGAUCCGCUCUUAACUAACAGUGCCAGCAAACCCAAAUAAGCAAGUGAAUCAUUUCAGUUCUCCCUUUCCACCAGCGUUAAAAUAUCAAACGCUAUGCUUAUUUCGCUUCGGAUUUUACCGAAAUAAGCAUAGCGUUUGAUGAUUUUAACCCACGCUGGUGGAAAGGGGAGAACAGAAAUGAUUCACUUGCUUAUUUGGGUUUGCUGGCACUGUUAGUUAAGAGCGGAUCUUCGAAAGGGUAUGUUCUUACUUUCAGUGUUUCCAAAUCCAAACCAGGAAUUUAUGAGCUGAAGAGAGAAAUGUUGUUUUGACUAAUCUUGAAACGUACGUACUCAAAUAACCUUAGCAUUUGAUUUUUAAUGUCCUUACCCCAAACUUUUGUGAGUUAAAUUAAGCAAACGCUAUAUAUGAGAGAUUUUCUUUAAGUAUUAGAAAUAGCUUUAAAAAAAGUUUUUAGCUCUAUUUCUAAUGAGUUCAGUAUGCGGCGAAGUAAUUUAUUUUACUAAGCCCUUUAUAUAAUGUAAUAAUUUGAAUUCGCCUUAAAUGGUCCCUUUGCAUACUGAACACUUGGUGAAAUUGAUUAAUAAUUAAUUAAUUUUACCCUCAAUUGUAUAUAUAUAUAUAUAUAUAUAUAUAUAUAUAUAUAUAUAUAUAUAUACAGUUAUAUAGGUAUAUUGACAUGUAUACAUGCAGUUGAGUGCACGUAUAUUUUUUUCGCAUGGAUGGACGUAUGAAUGUGUAUAUACACAAGUGAAUGCGCACAAGCAAAUAUAUUCUUUUAUUCUUUUACUUAUUUCAAUCAUUUGACUGCGGCCAUGCUGGAGAACUGACUUAAGGAUUUUCUAGUCGAAGAAAUCGACCCUAGAACAUUUUCUUUAUAAGCCUAGCACUUAUCCUAUCGCUUUCUUUCACCGAAUCUCUAAGUUACGGUGACGUAAACACAUCAACGUUGGUUGUCAAGUGAAGAUGGCUGGACAAACACAGACACAAAGACAGACAAAAGACAGACAGCCACACACACACACACACGCCGGUUUCUUUCGGUUUUGGUCUACCAAAUCCACUCACAAGGCUUUGGUCGGUCCACCUCUAUAAUAGAAGGCACUUGCACAAGGUGCUCCGCAGAGGGAUUGAACACUCGGGAUUAUGUGGAUGGGAAGCAAACUUCUUACCACACAGCUACGCCUGUGCCUAUAUAUAUAUAUAUAUAUAUAUAUAUAUAUAUAUAUAUAUAUAUAUAUAUAUAUAUAUAUAUAUAAAUAUACAUAGAUAUAUAUAUGUAUGUGUAAUUUUUCAAUGUUUACAAAUAACAAGAAAAAAAUAGAUAAACAGUUACCAGGGCAGCAAAAAUUUACAUAAGUGCCAAGGAUAUAACAACCUACUUAUAAAGGUAAAAAUUCCAGGGUUAAGUGGAAUAUUUUUGUAUAACAUGGAUUAAUUAAGAAAUGGAAUCAAACGCAGGUGUUAUUCAAAUCAUUUAUACUUCCAAUAUAUGUUUCGAGAAAAGCAUUGAAAUUAUUCCGAACGGAAUAAAAAUGAUGUAAAACAAUGCAAUCAUCCCUUUGGGUAAAAAAAAAUAAACAAAACACAUCAAUAAGUCAUUUUAACCAAAUGUGAUUACCGCAUAUAUGAUGUAAGGGGAACACUGGCAAGUAAUUUUUUAAUAAAAAAACCGUUAAUAGAUUUUAAAGGUAAUUUAAAGAAAGAGAAGGAGGUGAAAGAAAUAAAUUGACAGAAAAUUAAGAGUGGAAAAAUAUAGUGUGAUAGAUGAAUGGGAAUUAAGUUUAAAAGCGUGGAAAUAGAUAUACGUAGUGGAAAUGAAAUGUAAGAAGACAGUUAAAGGUCGAUUUUAUAGAUUAGUAGAAAUUACUUAUAGGAACUUAAUGUAUGUUUUUGCCAAUGUUUACAACGAUAAACAAGUUCUUUAAAUGUGUUUACAAGAGUAUUCUCAGAGAAAAGGAUGGGAAAUUGCUCUUCGUUGUAGAGCGGACAAAAAGAUUUACCUUUGUCAUAUCGGAAGGAUCUAGAUAGACUUUCCCAUUCCAAACCGAAUUGUUUAUUACAGACCAAAUAAAUUUACUAAGCCCAGUAUUGUUGCGUUUAUUGAUAUGUCUAAAUGUAGAAUAAAUAUUCUUUUCGGCAACUGAGACGAUGAGCUACUUAUAUAAAAAACAAGACAUCGGAACCGGAAGUAAUUUUACACUGAUAAACAGUUUCUAGUCUUAGAAUUACAGCUAUGGAAACGAAUAUAAUACGAAUUUAUAUCAGAAAUAUUAAUAUUGUUGCUGCAGAAAUUGGGGAACGCCCUCAUAGUAGAGAGGCAUGGCAUGCUGACCAAAGGAAUUCGCCUCCUCCAAGGCAACACCUCAGAUGUUGCCCAGAUGAAACCACACUCCUGCGGCUAUGAAAUCUUGCCUCAUCUCCUUAUUCUCCAGACCUCGCUCCAUCUGACUUACACUUCUUUCCAACAAUGAAGUCUUUUUUUUUUUGAAAGGGAAGCACUUUUCUGAUGACGAAGAAGUUAUUUCCGAGAUAAAGUCUGGUCUCCGGACGCAACCUGCUGACCUCUACAAACGAGAUCUUCAUAGCUGCAUAAAAUGAUGAGAAAAGUGUAUGUAUAUGUGUAUAUAUAUGUAUAUAAAUAUAUAUAUAUAUAUAUAUAUAUAUAUAUAUAUAUAUAUAUAUAUGUGUGUGUGUGUGUGUGUGUAUGUAUACCUAUCUGUCUAUCUACCAAUCUACCUAUCUAUGUGUGUAUGUGUGUGUGCGCGUGUGCAAGUGUGUGUUCGUGUAUGUAUGUAUUAAUUUGUAUAUAUAGAUGUGUAUGUAUGUGCUGGUUCUCUUGCAGACUGCAGAUGAGGGUUCAAAAACAUUGCUGAAUAAGCUACACAGAUGAUUUGUUAUACAGAACAAAUAAUUUUGCUGCACAUCAUCUUAUUCUCUCCAAUUCAACAUGAAUUCUACCUGUGAACGAUGUGCCACACGGCACAUGUCAAUGUCACCGCAGGGUACCGUGAAAUGAAGCGUUUUGCUCAUGAAUACGCUGCGCAACUCGGCCCGGAUACCGAAAUCACGUACUCGCGAUCAUGAGUCUAGCAUCCUCACCGCUAGCGACGCCUACACCCACACAUGCAUACACUCAUACAUGCAUAUAUGCAUGUAUAUAUGUAUACAUACAUACAUAUAUAUAUAUAUAUAUAUAUGAUAAAAUAUUAUGGGAAUAAAUCCAAACUUACAGGGAAAAAUCAGAUUUAGGAUUAAAUCCAAUUUUAUAGUAUAAAUAUAUUAUAUUAUAUUAUAUUAAAUUAGAGAUAAAACCACUAUUAGGCAAAUCAAACAGUGAAAAACAUAAGCCAAUACAUAAAAUUAAUUUAAUUUAUAUUAUUUUAAAUAUAUCAAAAGUAUUAAAAGUUUAAUAAAAGAUAAAGAGUAAAACACUACGAUCGUUUCAUGGCUGUACCUAUUCGAAUAACAAUAAUUUAAAUUCAAUUAAUAAUUCGAGUUAUGGUUACAGUCAAUCUUCAGGUUAAUUGAAAUAUUAAAAAAAUAAUCAGAAAUAUUUAAACAAUAUUUUUAAGAUAUAAAUAAUAUAAUAAUUUUACUUAUAAUAAACUCUAUUAUCAAACUAGAAACAUAAAACUUAACAAUUAUGAUUAUAUCAAAAUCGACUAUAAUGUUAAAUAUUAAUUUUAAUUUAUAAGGUAGGAAACCCACCAAUAAUCUAAUAUCGGUAAUAAUCUAUAUCUAAUUACAUAAAUAUUUAAAAAUGACUAUUAUAUAUAAAUAAUUUUGCUGCACAUCAUCUUAUUCUCUCCAAUUCAACAUGAAUUCUACCUGUGAACGACGUGCCACACGGCACAUGUCAAUGUCACCGCAGGGUACCGUGAGAUGAAGCGUUUUGCUCAUGAAUACGCUGCGCAACUCGGCCCGGAUACCGAAAUCACGUACUCGCGAUCGUGAGUCUAGCAUCCUCGCCGCUAGCAACGCCUACACCCACACAUACAUACACUCAUACAUACAUAUAUGCAUAUAUUUCUACUAUACAUACAUAUAUAUAUAUAUAUAUAUGUAUAGUAGAAAUAUGUUACAAAAAGAAAAUAUAUAAUAUACACGUGGAAAUGUAAGGGUAAAAUAUGAAAAAUCAACGAAAAUGCAUAUUGCAAGAAAAAAGGCUAUUUAUGACAGGUAACGACAAAUAUAUACAUUUAGAUUGACUGAGGUAAUAAUACGAGUCAUAGAAGUCAUUAUUAUGAGGUGAUUAUAAGAUUAUAAUAAAGUAAGAGAACAAAACGGACCAUGGUUUACGCAAAGCUAUUCAUCGUUUGAAAAACACCGGCUGAUACACGGUGUCGGGUCUAGUAGUUCCUGAGAAAAAAGAUUAUUUGUAAGGGAGGUAAGUAGUUCUGGAUUUAGAGAUGUGAGUGGUGUAGGAAGUGUAUAGGGGUUAGUGGUGUUCUGUAUUGAGUUGUGUGUUCAUAUUUAGUUGGGGGAGAAAUUUAUUGAUGAAAAAUGCCUCUUUAUUCNNNNNNNNNNNNNNNNNNNNNNNNNNNNNNNNNNNNNNNNNNNNNNNNNNNNNNNNNNNNNNNNNNNNNNNNNNNNNNNNNNNNNNNNNNNNNNNNNNNNGAAAUGAGAGCCAAUUGAAUGCUGAUGCAGCUUUCAUAUCCUGGAUGUUCGAAUGAGUCAUAGAAGGGAAAACAGAUGCUGGCUAUGUUUGCGAGUGACUAUAUAGGCACUAAAAAACAAAUAGUGAAAGCGGGUAUCUUUGUUAAGUACUGCUUCGAUUAGAGGAUAGUUUGUUUCAAAAAUGUAACGAUUUUCUCACUAUUCAGAUACAUGAAAACGAGUAGUUUUUAUACAAAUAACCAUAGCUGUUAUCAUUCAUUCUAUUUGUUUGCUCUCAGCUCCGCACUAAUACCUAUGCCUAUUUCUUCUCGCAUAGAUUGUCAAAACUAUAGACUCUUCUAUGAGCCCUUUCUUAAGCCGAUUUUGCUUUUGGUUUGGAGCUUAUAAAAUCAUUAAUGUCAUUUCAUAUAUAUCAUUGAUAUCAUUAAUAUUUCAUUUAUGUCACUAAUGUGCUUCAGAAGAGCAUAAACUUUACGAAAUUCAGUUUCUAUUCUUUUGAUGUAUAAAUAUGAUGUAUUGUGUCAUUCAAGAAAGAUUAGUAUAAUAGUUAAUUCUCCUUCUUAGUUAUAUUCUGCUGAAGUUGACUUUGUCUUUCACCCUUUCUAUGUUGUUGAAAAAAGUACAUAUCAACUAUGUAGGACCCUCUGAACUCAAAGAUGUAGCUUUUUUGGUUAAUUAGAAGCCAAUAUUACAAAUCGAUAUCAAACUAAAACCUUUUGCCACUUAGCCAUAUCCGUUAAUAUUCGAAUUGAAAUCCAUUCCAGGGUUCGAUAAACGAAGUACCAGUCAUACUGGGUUCAAUAACAUUAAAUUUGUGUUUAGUUAACCUAAUCGAUUAAAUAGCGUGCAACUCUUUUCAAAAUGAUCGUCAUUUAGGUGGAGUAGAGAGGGUUUUACUUAGCAAGCCACUCCUACCGCGACUUGAAAGGUCAACGUGAUUGUUGUUCAACAUUAAUUUCUGUUGAUUGAUUCUUGUAGGAAAAAGUUAUGGAAAUUGUUAAGAGCGUUGUGUCUGUCUAGUUCUAAGUGAGAAAUGUUCAGGAAACUAUUUUGAGGGAAUGGAAUGAGUGAUACGCUAAAACAGAGUGAAGAGGAGAUUGUUGUUGUUUUGGCUUUUUGUAAUGAUGGAACAGAUUUAUGAUCAAAGAGUUAGCAAUAUGACCAUCCGUCAUUGAAAGACUACAUUAUCCAAUGUUUCUCUUUUCACAUCAUUAGGAUAUAAUUUGAGGGAGAUUUCAAUGUCAUUUUUAACACAAAUCAAACAAUGAAGUAGAGGUUCGCGCUACUUGACUUGAAGACAAGAGGGAGUUAUGUUGGAUGAGUUAUGUUGGAUGAGGUUGUGUUUGCAGUAUGCUGGUUCAUUGAAGCAAUAGCGAUUGUAGUAGCAGUAGAGGAGAUAAAGCAAGAGGAGAUCAAAGAGAAAGCUAGCUAGCUAGAUAAAUAGACAGGUAGAUAGAUAGAAAAAGAGACAGAGAAAGAGAGAAAGUGAGAGAAAGAGAGAGGCAGAGCUAUGAAUAGGUGCUGGAUUACAAUUAUUCUCAAACUGACAAUUACCAACUCAAAAAGAAGAAAACGAAUAUUAACCCUUUACCACCCUAUUAAUGAGAAGACAAAAGACAGUUUAUAGCCAUAUACUUGUAUGUUCCGUGUGGUUUAGACAAGUUCAACAGUUUUAAAUUAUCACAGUUUUAUUAAACAUGGCAAUUUCUCCACUCAGUUUUCAGGUCACAACCCGGUGGAAAUGAUCCCUUUCAGGAGGAAAACAGCUGUGGUGCACUUCAAGAACUACUUUUCAUUUUUGCAAAUCAG